rnacentral:rRNA from 1 species
GACGAACGCUGGCGGCGUGCCUAAUACAUGCAAGUCGAACGCAGUGGGGACGGGUGAGUAACACGUGGGUAACCUCCCAUCAGAGGGGAUAACACUUGGAAACAGGUGCUAAACCGAUACUGAUGGAUGGACACGCGGUGCAUUAGCUAGUUGGUUAGGUAACGGCUCACCAAGGCCACGAUGCAUAGUCGACCUGUGAGGGGGAUCGGGCACACAGUGACGGAGACACGGCCCAUACUCCUACGGGAGGGAGCAGGAGGGAAUCUUCGGCAAUGGACGAAAGGCUGACCGAGCAACGCCGCGUGAGUGAAGAAGGUUUUCAGAUCGUGAAACUCUGUUGUUAGAGAAGCGGUAUCUAACCAGAAAGCCACGGCUAACUACGGGCCAGCAGCCGCGGUAAUUC